ensembl:lncRNA
GCUAAAGCAAUACAUUGUCCUUGGCUGUUUCUAAGGUGAUGAAACAUCGUGUGAUUUCUCUCUCGUGUCAGUCAUCCUGUCAUGAUUCUGAUUACAUUUUUUUUUCCUCUCACUGAUCUGGGGACAGUACAGUAACGUAAACUAGAGCCGUCUGGUUCCCUAUAAAAACACAGACACUAUGUUUCCCUAUAGGGACUGCUGAAGCAUUUCCCUUUCUUUGAGCUUGUACGGCCUACCACUUUGCGACUGAGCCAUUUUUGCUCCUAGAUGUUUCCACUUCACAAUAACAACAUCACUUACAGUUGACUGGGGCAGCUCUAGCAGGGGACAAACUAUCUUGUUGGAAAGCUAGCAUCCUAUGACGGAGCCACAGUGAAAGUCCCUGAGUUCUUUAGCAUAGCCAUUCUACUGCCAAUGUUUGUCUAUUGAGAUUGCAUGGUUGUGUCAGCGAUAGGUGUGGGUGAAAUAGCCGAAUCCACAAAUUUGAAGGGGUGUCCACAUACUUUUGGCAUAGUGUAUGAAUAUAAAAUGCAAAACUGUCCUAAUUUAGCAGUGUGACACAGACUACUAAUCUAGCUAAUAGAACAAAAAACUUUUGCAUACCUUAAGGGAGACCUAGUCAGUUGUACAAUCGAAUGCCUUCAACUGAAAUGUGUCUUCUGCAUUUAACCCAACACCUCUGAAUCAGAAGGGUCUAAUCACAGGUACUUAGGAGAAUCAUCAACUGAAGUAGCAUGGUUGAAGGCACUCCUGAGACACACAUACCAAUGUACCUGAAGAUGACUGAGAAGAGUCGUAUACAUCACAUCAGAAUGGAGGUACGUACAGUAUAGUACAGGAAGUAUGCAUCCCAAAUGUCAUCCUAUCCUCUAUAUAGUGGACCCUGGUCAACAUUAGUGCACUAUAAAGGGAAUCGGGUGCCAUUUGUGAUGCCGAUUGAUUCUAAUCCAAACACUACAACAGUGUUUUUAUAUCUUGGUCCUCCUGGGGACCCACUGGAGUGUACAUCUUUCUGCCAGCCCAGCAGUAAACUCACCUGACUCGGCCUACCUAUCAUGUCAGCAGUCACUCACCUGACUCGGCCUACCUAUCAUGUCAG